GAGAUCGCCACCUACAGGCGGCUGCUGGAGGGCGAGGAGCAGAGGCUGUGCGAGGGCGUCGGCGCUGUGAAUGUCUGUGUCAGCAGCUCCCGCGGUGGCGUCGUCUGUGGCGAUCUCUGCGCCUCAGGUGCUGCCCCUGCUGUCACCAGCCGCGUCUGCAGCGCCCCCUGCAGCGGUAACGUGGUGGUGGGCACCAACUCGUGCGGGGCCUGCAGCGUGGGCUGUAAGAAGUGCUAAGAGGCCGCGGCGCCCCUGCUAGCGCGCAGCCACGUCCCCCUCCGCCCGGCCCGACCCCGAUCGCCCCGCCGCUGCCCCACGACCGCCAGCUGCCCGCCCCCAACAACCAGUCGCCAGGUGUGCACCCUCGGCACGUCUUCCCUGGGUGCUCCCUCUGCGCGCCCCCCCCCCCCCCCCGGGCGCCCUGAGCCCUGUGCACCUGGGGCGGCACCUUGGCCUCUUUCCGUAGCCUUUCCUAGUAGUGGAUUUAUCAUCUUGAGGAUUCAUCCUUUCUUCUGCCUUCUGUGUUGUUUGCUGGAUUCAUUCGUCCUGCCCGACUCCCUCACCUAAGCUUGCGGGACAGGGCAGGCCCUAGACUCUCCCUGUCUCCACUUCCUGGGAAUCUGCCAGUGCGCUGGAUCCUGUGGGAGGGAGGUGGGGAACACUGACGGUGGUUUUCCUGUAACUCUGUGAGGCCCAUGGCUGUGGGAGGGAAGAGCAUCUCCUUGCAGGGCUGCCUGCAGAAGCUUCUGAAAACCCAGCGACGUAACUGCCAGCCCCUUUGUCUUCGUUUCACUCUGUGUUUCCAAUAAACUAACUGUAGCGUAUCAAA